UCGGAAUUACUGGGCGUAAAAGCGCAUGCAGGCGGUCCUGUUAAGUCUAGAUGUAGAAAGCCCCGGGGCUUAACCUCGGAAUUUGCAUUUUGAAAACUGGCAGGCUAGAGUCUUGUAGAGGGGGUAGAAUUUUCAGGUGUAGCGGUGAAAAUGCGUAGAGAUCUGAAGGAAUACCAGUGGCGAAGGCGGCCCCCCUGGACAAAGACUGACGCUCAGAUGCGAAAAGCGUGGGGAGCAAACAGGAUUAGAUACCCUGGUAG
rnacentral:rRNA from 1 species